UGACGAUUUUGUAUUUCAUGUUUAAUGUGCCUAGUUAGCUGUCGUUCAUUUUGUUACCUGUCCGGUCAUGUAAAAAAUGGCGUUGUUGUUUUAUUAGUAUGCCUCAGGUACAAUAGUACACUCGCAAAGAAAUAUUUAGCACUUAUUAGCAAAUGAUUAGUGUAUUGGUGUACAACAUUUUUAAAACGAAAUGUUUUUGUUGUUGAUGCUUUUACUAAUGAGUUUGCUCAGAGCGUGAUGAGGAGAGGCAAAUAUACUUGUAUGGGAGUCCAGACGGCAGCAUUAACUUUGCCUUGUAUUUGUAUCCAUUCCAUGCAGUCAUUACUAGAGGGACAAGCGGCAGAAUUGUGUCCAGAGCCUUGUCUUCCACCUACACCUUACCAGAACACAAUGCAGAAAGGACAAAGCUAACCCGUUCCCCUCUGCCCUCCCGGAGUCCCCAGGUCAAAUGUCUCCCGGUACUGCUUUACUGCUGGGUCUGGUUGACUGCAGGAAAACACUGGGGCAGAGUGGAACUAAGAGAGGAGGAAGAGAAGAUAAGGAAGAUGGAGAUUUGUUUUCAUUAAGGGACAGCCCUAACCGUUGCUCUCUCAGUGGGAGGGGCUUAUCAUAAGGGGAGCCUCAACAACAACAUGAUGCUGACAAGACGUCUCUCCAGAAGAGUCUCUCCAGAUCAGAACGUCUCAAUAAACACCAGCAGAGACUUAUAGGGAAGAAACCUCACCACCGCUGCUCUGACUGUGGGAAGAGUUUUACUAAACAGAAAAUUGGUCAUUCACCAGCGGAUUCAUGCUGGAGGAAGCCUUAUAGCUGUGAUAAGUGUGGGAAGAGUUUUGCCUGAGAUUUCACCGUGACCAAACACCGACUUAUACACACAGGAGAGAAGCCUUAUAGUUGUGAUCAGUGUGGGAAGAGCUUUAAUCAAUCAGCAGCCCUGAGCACACACCAAUGCAUACACGCUGGGAGACAGUAGUAAGGUGUAUGUGGAAAGAGCUUUGCUCAAUCAGGGUCACUGAAAAAACACCAGAAAGCACAAACAUGUUUUCUUUCUUCUCCCUCCUCUCAGUCACCGGUUCAAGAUGUCUAAAUAAAGUUUGAACAGAAAACAUGUUGUAAAGAGUCAGCUCUGGAACCAUAUGUAUCAAGCUUCUUGGAGUAGGAGUGCUGUGGGUUGGCGGUGGGGGUGUUCAGAGCUGUAUCUUAUUUCAGUAACUCCUAUUAUCCAUUAAUUAAUUGUAUAAUGUAGAAUAAUGUUUCAACAAUACAAGGUGUGUAUUCAUGUAUUCAAUAGAUCAAUAAAUUAAAUCCAUUAUCUGCUCAACAAUGUCUGCUUAUUACAUUAAUUAUGUUUUUUAAAUCUAAUCCAUUUUAAAUGGACCAUAGUACUCUUGUAUAAUUAGUUUACUCCUAAAAGAUGUUGACAUAUUUAUUUUUAAACCCUUCACCAGGUUUUAGUGCAGCUGAUGGGACAUACGGAAGUACAGAAGAC